rnacentral:rRNA from 1 species
CCAAUAGCGUAUAUUAAAGUUGUUGCAGUUAAAAAGCUCGUAGUUGAAUUUCGGGAUCAAUAUUUCGGUCAUGCCGUUGGUAUGCACUGUUAUCAUUGAUUUCUCACCUUCUAAAGAACCGUAAUGCCAUUAAUUUGGUGUUACGGGGAAUUAGGACUGUUACCUUGAAAAAAUUAGAGUGUUUAAAGCAGGCUCACGCUUGAAUACAUUAGCAUGGAAUAAUGAAAUAGGACGUUUGACCCUAUUUUGUUGGUUUCUAGGAUCGACGUAAUGAUUAAUAGGGAUAGUUGGGGGCAUUAGUAUUCAAUUGUCAGAGGUGAAAUUCUUGGAUUUAUUGAAGACUAACUACUGCGAAAGCAUUUGCCAAGGAUGUUUUCAUUAAUCAAGAACGAAAGUUAGGGGAUCGAAGACGAUCAGAUACCGUCGUAGUCUUAACCAUAAACUAUGCCGACUAGGGAUCGGAUGAUGUUAAUUUUUUAAUGACUCAUUCGGCGCCUUACGGGAAACCAAAGUGUUUGGNUUC